rnacentral:rRNA from 1 species
GAGUUUGAUCAUGGCUCAGAUUGAACGCUGGCGGCAGGCCUAACACAUGCAAGUCGAACGGUAACAGGAAGCAGCUUGCUGCUUCGCUGACGAGUGGCGGACGGGUGAGUAAUGUCUGGGAAGCUGCCUGAUGGAGGGGGAUAACUACUGGAAACGGUAGCUAAUACCGCAUAAUGUCGCAUGACCAAAGAGGGGGACCUUCGGGCCUCUUGCCAUCGGAUGUGCCCAGAUGGGAUUAGCUUGUUGGUGGGGUAACGGCUCACCAAGGCGACGAUCCCUAGCUGGUCUGAGAGGAUGACCAGCCACACUGGAACUGAGACACGGUCCAGACUCCUACGGGAGGCAGCAGUGGGGAAUAUUGCACAAUGGGCGCAAGCCUGAUGCAGCCAUGCCGCGUGUAUGAAGAAGGCCUUCGGGUUGUAAAGUACUUUCAGCGGGGAGGAAGGGAGUAAAGUUAAUACCUUUGCUCAUUGACGUUACCCGCAGAAGAAGCACCGGCUAACUCCGUGCCAGCAGCCGCGGUAAUACGGAGGGUGCAAGCGUUAAUCGGAAUUACUGGGCGUAAAGCGCACGCAGGCGGUUUUGUUAAGUCAGAUGUGAAAUCCCCGGGCUCAACCUGGGAACUGCAUCUGAUACUGGCAAGCUUGAGUCUCGUAGAGGGGGGUAGAAUUCCAGGUGUAGCGGUGAAAUGCGUAGAGAUCUGGAGGAAUACCGGUGGCGAAGGCGGCCCCCUGGACGAAGACUGACGCUCAGGUGCGAAAGCGUGGGGAGCAAACAGGAUUAGAUACCCUGGUAGUCCACGCCGUAAACGAUGUCGACUUGGAGGUUGUGCCCUUGAGGCGUGGCUUCCGGAGCUAACGCGUUAAGUCGACCGCCUGGGGAGUACGGCCGCAAGGUUAAAACUCGAAUGAAUUGACGGGGGCCCGCACAAGCGGUGGAGCAUGUGGUUUAAUUCGAUGCAACGCGAAGAACCUUACCUGGUCUUGACAUCCACGGAAGUUUUCAGAGAUGAGAAUGUGCCUUCGGGAACCGUGAGACAGGUGCUGCAUGGCUGUCGUCAGCUCGUGUUGUGAAAUGUUGGGUUAAGUCCCGCAACGAGCGCAACCCUUAUCCUUUGUUGCCAGCGGUCCGGCCGGGAACUCAAAGGAGACUGCCAGUGAUAAACUGGAGGAAGGUGGGGAUGACGUCAAGCCAUCAUGGCCCUUACGACCAGGGCUACACACGUGCUACAAUGGCGCAUACAAAGAGAAGCGACCUCGCGAGAGCAAGCGGACCUCAUAAAGUGCGUCGUAGUCCGGAUUGGAGUCUGCAACUCGACCCCAUGAAGUCGGAAUCGCUAGUAAUCGUGGAUCAGAAUGCCACGGUGAAUACGUUCCCGGGCCUUGUACACACCGCCCGUCACACCAUGGGAGUGGGUUGCAAAAGAAGUAGGUAGCUUAACCUUCGGGAGGGCGCUUACCACUUUGUGAUUCAUGACUGGGGUGAAGUCGUAACAAGGUA